AAAAGGCUCCCAUAUCAAGCGAGAGAAAGAGCACUCAAAGCAGAGAUGAUGGUGAGUCUCUAUUUCCAGAUUACAAAAGAUGCACGUUCCUGAGACAUUUAACCUCCAACGGCUCAAGCGAUCCUUGGUUGGCAGUUUUCUCCGCAAAGCCAGCCAUGAUAUAAACGCAUUACGUGGAAUAUGUUCCUUGAACUAAAUAGUCUUGUGCCAAUAUUUGUUGUUGAUAGUGUUUAUAUUCUUUUCUGACAUUAGUAUCCAUAUUUUUUAGUAAACUGAUCCAAAGAGAUUAGUUUGUGGAGCUAACCAAACGAGGAUUAUAGUGUUUACUUUGGAAAAAGUAAUAGGUUGAAUGAUAGAUGGCGUGCGUGCUUUUUCACAUAAAAAUCUGCACAUAUAUUAAAAUUGUAAGAUUUGAAUCAUAGAGAAAUAUAGUGUAUAUGACUGAAGUUGGUCCAUUCCGAAACUUAAGAUGGCUAAACUUCUUCCUUGUCAAAAUGCAUAGAUGUGAAUCUUAUAUGAAUAGAGUUCUCCAUUGCUUAUAGCAGUGUAAUAAAUUCCAUGUGUAAAGGAGAAGAAAUGUUAUAUAAGUGAAAACAAAAAUUAUGAUUUUUUUUUCUUGUGCCUAUAGGCUCUUCGCAAUUUGAAGAUGAAAGAACAUAUUGUGUGAAAAUCUUUGGUUCGGUCAAAUUUUAUCCAGUUGUUUAUAAAACUGUUGUUAUCUGAUUCAUGUAAUUUUUCAGUGUUGAUUUAAAAGCCCAAAAACCCCAAUCUAUACUGACUUUUUGAUAUUUUUUUCUGUGAUUUGAAUUUAAAAAGAGAUAAAACUUUUGAUAAGUUAUGUAAACUCAGAACAAGUAUUUAGCUUUAGAAAGCAUUUACAUGUUUCAAACUUAUAAUAUAUACAUAUAUAAUGUUUAAAAUUAUUCAUAUAAAACAUGUGUAAAAUGUGCCUGAAUAUGUUUCUCUUCUUUAAUGUGUUAAUCGUACUAUAUAUAACAUUAUUUUAAAAUUUCAAAAAGUUUAUAUCACAUACAAAAAACCAUCAAUGAAAAAUAUAAUUCUCCAUAUACAACAAGAAAAAUGAAAAAUUAUAAACAUAUAAAUUUAAAUUAAGAAAAACUAACAUUGGAAAAACAAGAAGUUAAUGUAAAAGAAAAAAACCGACAAAUAAUAUUAUAAAUAAAAUAAAUUUAUAAGACACAAUCCGCGCGAAGCGCGGAAAAAAUCUCUAGUUUUUGAAUAAUAAAUACCCGAACCCAACAUUAUCAGUGGCUACUUUUGGAUAAAUAUAACUAAUAUGAAUGGUAUCCGAUAUGUAUUCGGGUAAAGACCGAAUCUCAAACAAGUUAUACGGCCGAUCCAAAGAAAUAAAUCUCCAAAUGUGUAUUUAUACCUCUAGUACUGAAAUAUCCAAGAUUUAAAGAAUUGAAAUAAAAUCGAAGGGAUUCUCAGAUGUCUAAAGGGGAAAUUUUACUUUUACACUUUGUUUGAUACCAUAAUUCAACUUUACCAUCACUCUAGAAACAUUUUCAUAAAUACCUAAAUCAUUAAUGGCCAAAUGACUAAACUAACCUUUUUCAAUUUAUCUCUGAUUUUUCCAAUCUCGUCUUCUUCGUCAAGCUUCGGUGCCAUCUUCAUCGAGUCUCGCCGUCGCCGUAUUCAAGAGGCGGCGCUGCUGCUCCUUCCUCCUGAACAGUGUUCUCUCUCCUCUUAUCUCUCAGCUCCGAUGAAUCCUCCCUCCAGCUCCCGCGAUGACGCGUCUUCAGCAAAUCCCGAUGGUGUCCUUCCUGCUUUCUUCUUCUGCACCGACGACUCAGACAGCUCAGCUCAACCAUGGCGUUCACCUAAGUUUGAAGAAUCCCUCAGUUGCACGUGGUUACGAUGGGGAUGGACUUGAGGGUUGUUCCGGCAGAGGAGUGGUGGGAAGAAUGAGGGAGAGAUUCUAGCCUCGAUGGUGAAAGUGACCUAGGCCUUAUGGUUACGGAUUUUCUCGAGAUGGGAGGUGGUGGAAGCGGUGGUGACCUAGGCCUUAUGGUUACGGAUUUUCCGGAUCCUUCUUACCUUUCCGAUAAGAUUCAGAAUAAACGUACAGCAAAGAACAUCAUUGAUUUUGUCAUCUGUACAUAGUUGCUAAUCACAUUCCAAUGGAUAGCACUUGCCUAGAGAAUUGUUUCCAGUGUGCUCUCUUCUGAUGCUUAUAAUGUUCUUGCAACUUCACACCCCUUUGUGGCUGAGGAUUUCCUCACAAUUUCAAGGCUCAUCAAAAUGGUGUAUGAUCACCUUUGUAGCCAAGUUUCUUGCUGCUCUUUAUGCCUUUAUUACUGCAGCAUGUUCGGGUAGCAGUUCACCGAGUGUCUCCUCUGAUUCCCGUGGCUUCAUCUCACCAAUUAGC